rnacentral:lncRNA from 1 species
GAAGUUUGGCAAUCGUCUCUUUAAUAAUGCCUAGCUCCACAUGAAAUAUAAAGUUAGAUGAGGUGAUUCCGACGAUGCAUACAUGUAAAAGAGCAAAUAUUCUCUUGACAAAUGAGAGCCAACAUUGUUUACUUGGUUUAUUUACGUAAGAAUAAAUAUGUCAAAAAGGAAAAAUCUGGCUCUUCAUUCUAUUUGAUUAUUUAUAUUUGUGAAAAUAAGUUUAAUUCACUCGUUCACAAAUAAGAUAAAUUAAUGGAUUAUGAAUGAAUGGGGUUGAGAUAUGGUUGGGAGUUAGGUAACGGUUGCAUGUAUAAUCCACCUUUCUCAUUCCUAUUUCUUGCAAUAAAAUUUAAUAGAUCAUCGUUGACCUCUGUCAUAUUAAAAAAAAAAAAUAUUAUUACUUCAUCUCGAAUAAAAUAAUCCAAUAAAAGCUAGUCUACAAAAAAAAAAUCUAACAGUAUAUGCAUUUUCAAAAAUACAAUAUAACUUUUAAAUACAAUUUAUAUAAAUAAUUACAUUUUAACUAAUAAAUAGUUAGAAAAUUUUCUGUAGCAACACUAGAAAGUUAAAAUUCUUCCAAAAUUUGUCUACUUGUACCCCUGAAAUUUUGCCGAUGUACUCAAACAUCGCAAUAAACAGUGAUAUAUUCUCUCCAACAACUCGGUAAGAAUAAUAAAAAGCUUAGCUAAACAAUGGCUGCAAAAACAAUAUAAACUAGAUCUUGAUCCUCACAGCCGCGCCAGUAUUAUUUUUAAUUAUAUAUAUAUAUAUAUAUAUAUUUUAGAUUAUUAGUAGUAUACAUAUUAACAUGUAUACCAAUAGCUGCAAAAACAAUAUAAAUAGGUCAAAACAUGUCCAUGUGUAAUCUUGUAAUUUGUAGAAACUUCUAGGCCAAACUUGAUUCUGAAAAUAGAGUCGGC